rnacentral:rRNA from 1 species
AAGCCGGCGGCGUGCCUAUACAUGCAGUCGAACGCUUCUUUCCUCCCGAUGCUUGCACUCAAUUGGAAAGAGGAGUGGCGGACGGGUGAGUAACACGUGGGUAACCUACCCAUCAGAGGGGGAUAACACUUGGAAACAGGUGCUAAUACCGCAUAACAGUUUAUGCCGCAUGGCAUAAGAGUGAAAGGCGCUUUCGGGUGUCGCUGAUGGAUGGACCCGCGGUGCAUUAGCUAGUUGGUGAGGUAACGGCUCACCAAGGCCACGAUGCAUAGCCGACCUGAGAGGGUGAUCGGCCACACUGGGACUGAGACACGGCCCAGACUCCUACGGGAGGCAGCAGUAGGGAAUCUUCGGCAAUGGACGAAAGUCUGACCGAGCAACGCCGCGUGAGUGAAGAAGGUUUUCGGAUCGUAAAACUCUGUUGUUAGAGAAGAACAAGGACGUUAGUAACUGAACGUCCCCUGACGGUAUCUAACCAGAAAGCCACGGCUAACUACGUGCCAGCAGCCCGCGGUAAUACGUAGGUGGCAAGCGUUGUCCGGAUUUAUUGGGCGUAAAGCGAGCGCAGGCGGUUUCUUAAGUCUGAUGUGAAAGCCCCCGGCUCAACCGGGGAGGGUCAUUGGAAACUGGGAGACUUGAGUGCAGAAGAGGAGAGUGGAAUUCCAUGUGUAGCGGUGAAAUGCGUAGAUAUAUGGAGGAACACCAGUGGCGAAGGCGGCUCUCUGGUCUGUAACUGACGCUGAGGGUCGAAAGCGUGGGGAGCAAACAG